CAGAUUGACUUGUGAAGAAAAUAGAACAAAUAUUUAAAAGAAAUCGAAUGAAACGAAAUUCUGUUGAUGAGAAAAAUUUUAAUUAUUUCGUAUCGUUCACCGAAAUUAAAUUUAUAUUAAAAACUUCUUCAGGCGUGUUGUUAUCAAACGAGGAAAAGUUAGGCCUAUGAAGUCCAUAACUAUAAAAUUUAACUUGAAGAUAGAAGCUAAUUACACCUAAAUUUUGCUCAGAUGAUGUACUUUGAUCAAUUUUCUCACAAUACAUUAUAUUUAAAUAAACCUUAUUAUAUAAAUUGGCCAUGACGGAAAGUGGGAUUAUCCGACCAUGAUCUACAGAUCACGUGCCCAAUUGGAACCAUACCUCUGAGUUUACAACCAAGACCGUACGCUAUCAUUUCUGACGCCUGGACAGACAUAGUUGGGUCUAAGAGUGCCAAGUCCAGAUUGUUGACCAAUCGAAGGAUCAACUCGGCGAGAAUAAAAGUGCAGGUGAAACGACAUCGUAAAACUAUUGUCGUCUACGACUCCAAUGUCAUGGGCUCGAAUCGCUGAGACCCAUAAAAAGUGCCUAAUGGUGUUCAUUAAUUUUUUUACGUGCCUAUACAAGAGUUCCUCACCGUUAUUCAUUCGGUGCCAUAAAUAGAAAAUGGGAUUGUUAGGAAUGUUAUUGUCUAAUUAAACAA